CUUCCUGGCCGGCGAGUACAGACAGUACGUUUGAAAGCGGGCCGCGCUUUAAUUUUUGACAAGUGUUCGGAAGAGACACUCUUCGCAGCUUGAGAGAGAAGGAGAAUGAAAACCAGCUUGCAGGAUUUGAUAUCACAGUAAAAAUCGCACCAGCAGCCGGUUGCAGAAGCACAGCAGAGCCAACCCAGCGUGUCCUAUCUUUCAAGUCUUGGCCAUCGCUCGUUUCUUUCGGGCCCAGACUUGCCUCCGAUUUGUCUACUCUGGAGACAGUAGAGCUGCUUUACGGGGGAUGUUCACACUUAGAAUGCGACCGCCAUUCGGUGAGGAAGCCCAAGCAGCCCGUGGAGAGGCCCUUAUGGGCAGAAACUGAGGCCUGCAGAUUCAACUGAGGCUCAGCGCCCAGACAGCAGCCAAAGGCGUGAGCCAUUUUGAAAGGGAGCCCCUUCAGCCCCCAGGUGUGCUAUCCCAGCUGAGGCCACAUGGAGCAGAUGAGCUGUCCCCACCAAGCCCUGCCCAAAUUGCAGGUUCAUGAGCAAA